UUGCCUCGAGGAGAAAAGAAAGAUUCGCGAAAGCGGAGGUAAUACACCAUAGUCCCAGAACCUGUAUUGGUUCAGGGUAAAGAUAACACUCUAUUUAUAAGCUGUCCCCUUGAGAGAGGCCCGCGUCCUAUCAGGUUGUUGGUGGGGUAAUGGCCUACCAAGCCAAAGACGGGUAGCUGGCGUAAGAGCGUGACCAGCCACAUCGGAACUGAGACACUGUCCGGACUCCUACGGGAGGCAGC
rnacentral:rRNA from 1 species